CCUACGGGUGGCAGCAGUGGGGAAUAUUGCACAAUGGGGGAAACCCUGAUGCAGCGACGCCGCGUGAGUGAAGAAGUAUUUCGGUAUGUAAAGCUCUGUCAGCAGGGAAGAAAAUGCCGGUACCUGACUAAGAAUCACCGGCUAAAUACGUGCCAGCAGCCGCGGUAAUACGUAGGGGGAACGCGUUAACCGGAUUUACUGGGCGGAAAGGGAGCGUAGACGGCAGAGCAAGUCGCGAGUGAAAGCCCGCGGCCCAACGGCGGGACUGCUUUGGAAACUGGCCGGCUAGAGUGCGGGAGAGGUUAGUGGAAUGCCUGGUGUAGCGGUGAAAUGCGUAGAUAUUAGGAGGAACACCAGUGGCGAAGGCGGCUUACUGG
rnacentral:rRNA from 1 species